GACGUAGGGUGCGAGCGUUGUCCGGAGUUACUGGGCGUAAAGGGCUCGUAGGCGGCCAACUAAGUCGGACGUGAAAUCCCUAGGCUCAACUUGGGAACUGCGUCCGAUACUGGAUGGCUUGAAUUCGGGAGAGGGAUGUGGAAUUCCAGGUGUAGCGGUGAAAUGCGUAGAUAUCUGGAGGAACAUCGGUGGCGAAGGCGACAUCCUGGACCGGUAUUGACGCUGAGGCGCGAAAGCCAGGGGAGCAAACAGG
rnacentral:rRNA from 1 species